UUUGGUUAAGUUAGAAAGGGCGCACGGUGGAUGCCUUGACACUAGGAGUCGAUGAAGGACGGGACUAACGCCGAUAUGCUUCGGGGAGCUGUAAGUAAGCUUUGAUCCGAAGAUUUCCGAAUGGGGAAACCCACCAUACGUAAUGGUAUGGUAUCCUUAUCUGAAUACAUAGGGUAAGGAAGACAGACCCAGGGAACUGAAACAUCUAAGUACCUGGAGGAAGAGAAAGCAAAUGCGAUUUCCUGAGUAGCGGCGAGCGAAACGGAACAUAGCCCAAACCAAGAGGCUUGCCUCUUGGGGUUGUAGGACAUUCUAUACGGAGUUACAAAGGAACGAGGUAGACGAAGCGACCUGGAAAGGUCCGUCGUAGAGGGUAACAACCCCGUAGUCGAAACUUCGUUCUCUCUUGAAUGUAUCCUGAGUACGGCGGAACACGUGAAAUUCCGUCGGAAUCUGGGAGGACCAUCUCCCAAGGCUAAAUACUCCCUAGUGAUCGAUAGUGAACCAGUACCGUGAGGGAAAGGUGAAAAGCACCCCGGAAGGGGAGUGAAAGAGAUCCUGAAACCGUGUGCCUACAAAUAGUCAGAGCCCGUUAACGGGUGAUGGCGUGCCUUUUGUAGAAUGAACCGGCGAGUUACGAUCCCGUGCGAGGUUAAGCUGAAGAGGCGGAGCCGCAGCGAAAGCGAGUCUGAAUAGGGCGUUUAGUACGUGGUCGUAGACCCGAAACCAGGUGAUCUACCCAUGUCCAGGGUGAAGUUCAGGUAACACUGAAUGGAGGCCCGAACCCACGCACGUUGAAAAGUGCGGGGAUGAGGUGUGGGUAGCGGAGAAAUUCCAAUCGAACCUGGAGAUAGCUGGUUCUCCCCGAAAUAGCUUUAGGGCUAGCCUUAAGUGUAAGAGUCUUGGAGGUAGAGCACUGAUUGGACUAGGGGUCCUCAUCGGAUUACCGAAUUCAGUCAAACUCCGAAUGCCAAUGACUUAUCCUUAGGAGUCAGACUGCGAGUGAUAAGAUCCGUAGUCAAAAGGGAAACAGCCCAGACCGCCAGCUAAGGUCCCAAAGUGUGUAUUAAGUGGAAAAGGAUGUGGAGUUGCUUAGACAACUAGGAUGUUGGCUUAGAAGCAGCCACCAUUUAAAGAGUGCGUAAUAGCUCACUAGUCGAGUGACUCUGCGCCGAAAAUGUACCGGGGCUAAAUACACCACCGAAGCUGCGGAUUGAUACCGAAUGGUAUCAGUGGUAGGGGAGCGUUCUAAGGACAGUGAAGUCAGACCGUAAGGACUGGUGGAGUGCUUAGAAGUGAGAAUGCCGGUAUGAGUAGCGAAAGACGGGUGAGAAUCCCGUCCACCGAAUGCCUAAGGUUUCCUGAGGAAGGCUCGUCCGCUCAGGGUUAGUCAGGACCUAAGCCGAGGCCGACAGGCGUAGGCGAUGGACAACAGGUUGAUAUUCCUGUACCACCUCUUUAUCGUUUGAGCAAUGGAGGGACGCAGAAGGAUAGAAGAAGCGUGCGAUUGGUUGUGCACGUCCAAGCAGUUAGGCUGAUAAGUAGGCAAAUCCGCUUAUCGUGAAGGCUGAGCUGUGAUGGGGAAGCUCCUUAUGGAGCGAAGUCUUUGAUUCCCCGCUGCCAAGAAAAGCUUCUAGCGAGAUAAAAGGUGCCUGUACCGCAAACCGACACAGGUAGGCGAGGAGAGAAUCCUAAGGUGUGCGAGAGAACUCUGGUUAAGGAACUCGGCAAAAUGACCCCGUAACUUCGGGAGAAGGGGUGCUUUCUUAACGGAAAGCCGCAGUGAAUAGGCCCAAGCGACUGUUUAGCAAAAACACAGCUCUCUGCGAAGCCGUAAGGCGAAGUAUAGGGGGUGACACCUGCCCGGUGCUGGAAGGUUAAGGAGAGGGGUUAGCGUAAGCGAAGCUCUGAACUGAAGCCCCAGUAAACGGCGGCCGUAACUAUAACGGUCCUAAGGUAGCGAAAUUCCUUGUCGGGUAAGUUCCGACCCGCACGAAAGGUGUAACGAUUUGGGCACUGUCUCAACCAGAGACUCGGUGAAAUUAUAGUACCUGUGAAGAUGCAGGUUACCCGCGACAGGACGGAAAGACCCCGUGGAGCUUUACUGUAGCCUGAUAUUGAAUUUUGGUACAGUUUGUACAGGAUAGGCGGGAGCCAUUGAAACCGGAGCGCUAGCUUCGGUGGAGGCGCUGGUGGGAUACCGCCCUGACUGUAUUGAAAUUCUAACCUACGGGUCUUAUCGACCCGGGAGACAGUGUCAGGUGGGCAGUUUGACUGGGGCGGUCGCCUCCUAAAGUGUAACGGAGGCGCCCAAAGGUUCCCUCAGAAUGGUUGGAAAUCAUUCGUAGAGUGCAAAGGCAUAAGGGAGCUUGACUGCGAGACCUACAAGUCGAGCAGGGACGAAAGUCGGGCUUAGUGAUCCGGUGGUUCCGCAUGGAAGGGCCAUCGCUCAACGGAUAAAAGCUACCCCGGGGAUAACAGGCUUAUCUCCCCCAAGAGUCCACAUCGACGGGGAGGUUUGGCACCUCGAUGUCGGCUCAUCGCAUCCUGGGGCUGUAGUCGGUCCCAAGGGUUGGGCUGUUCGCCCAUUAAAGCGGUACGCGAGCUGGGUUCAGAACGUCGUGAGACAGUUCGGUCCCUAUCCGUCGUGGGCGUAGGAAAUUUGAGAGGAGCUGUCCUUAGUACGAGAGGACCGGGAUGGACGCACCGCUGGUGUACCAGUUGUUCUGCCAAGGGCAUAGCUGGGUAGCUAUGUGCGGAAGGGAUAAGUGCUGAAAGCAUCUAAGCAUGAAGCCCCCCUCAAGAUGAGAUUUCCCAUAGCGUAAGCUAGUAAGAUCCCUGAAAGAUGAUCAGGUUGAUAGGUUCGAGGUGGAAGCAUGGUGACAUGUGGAGCUGACGAAUACUAAUAGAUCGAGGACUUAACCAUAUAA
rnacentral:rRNA from 3 species